rnacentral:rRNA from 1 species
GACGAACGCUGGCGGCGUGCUUAACACAUGCAAGUCGAACGGAAAGGCCCUUCGGGGUACUCGAGUGGCGAACGGGUGAGUAACACGUGGGUGAUCUGCCCUGCACUUUGGGAUAAGCCUGGGAAACUGGGUCUAAUACCGAAUAGGACCACGCGCUUCAUGGUGUGUGGUGGAAAGCUUUUGCGGUGUGGGAUGGGCCCGCGGCCUAUCAGCUUGUUGGUGGGGUAAUGGCCUACCAAGGCGACGACGGGUAGCCGGCCUGAGAGGGUGACCGGCCACACUGGGACUGAGAUACGGCCCAGACUCCUACGGGAGGCAGCAGUGGGGAAUAUUGCACAAUGGGCGCAAGCCUGAUGCAGCGACGCCGCGUGAGGGAUGACGGCCUUCGGGUUGUAAACCUCUUUCAAUAGGGACGAAGCGCAAGUGACGGUACCUAUAGAAGAAGCACCGGCCUACUACGUG